rnacentral:rRNA from 1 species
AUGGCGCCGCGGUGGUGCUUCGCGUUGCUCCUGCUGCUGUGUGCGGCGGCGGGGGCUGACGCCUCGAAGGGGAAGUGGGACCCGGUGAUCCGGAUGCCGGGGGAGGAGGAGCCCGCCACGGGCGACAACAGCUCCGAGGAGGGGGAGGACGGCGUCGGGACGAGGUGGGCGGUGCUCGUCGCCGGAUCCUCCGGCUACGGAAACUACAGGCACCAGGCCGAUAUAUGCCAUGCCUACCAGAUAUUGAGAAAAGGGGGCGUAAAAGAGGAGAACAUCGUGGUUUUUAUGUACGAUGACAUUGCCAACAACCCUCUCAACCCGAGGCCAGGGGUUAUCAUCAACCACCCAGAGGGUGAAGAUGUAUAUGCUGGCGUUCCAAAGGACUACACCGGAGAGGCAGUUACUGCUAAGAACUUCUAUGCAGUUCUCUUGGGCAACAAAACUGCAGUCACUGGAGGGAGUAAGAAGGUCAUAGAUAGCAAACCAAAUGACCAUAUAUUUAUCUACUACUCAGAUCACGGGGGUCCCGGAGUCCUUGGUAUGCCCAACCUGCCAUAUCUUUAUGCUGCUGAUUUUAUCAAGGUCUUACAAGAAAAACAUGCAUCCAAUACAUAUGCAAAAAUGGUUAUAUAUGUGGAAGCUUGUGAAAGUGGCAGUAUUUUUGAGGGUUUGAUGCCUGCAGACCUCAAUAUUUAUGUCACAACAGCAUCUAAUGCAGAAGAAAGCAGCUGGGGUACAUACUGCCCAGGAAUGGAACCAUCGCCUCCUUCUGAGUAUAUUACCUGCUUAGGUGAUCUCUACAGUAUUUCUUGGAUGGAAGAUAGUGAGACUAAUAAUCUGAAGGAGGAGACAAUCAAGAAGCAGUACGAAGUGGUAAAGAAGCGAACCUCAGACAUGAACAGCUAUAGUGCCGGUUCUCAUGUUAUGGAGUAUGGCGACAUGACCUUCAAGGAUGAGAAGCUUUACCUUUAUCAAGGUUUCAAUCCUGCAAACACCAACAUUACAAACAAGCUAUUUUUGCAAGCCCCAAAGGCUGCAAUCAACCAAAGAGACGCAGAUCUUCUUUUCUUGUGGAGGAGGUAUGAGCUGCUACAUGGAAAGUCUAAAGAGAAGGCGAACGUUCUGACGGAGAUCAGUGAGACAGUCGCCCACAGGAAGCAUCUUGACAACAGCAUCGAUUUUAUUGGGAAGCUCCUAUUUGGCUUCGAGAAUGGACCUUCGGAGCUUCAAGCUGUCAGACCUUCUGGGAAGCCUCUAGUGGACGACUGGGAUUGCCUGAAGAGGAUGGUGCGGAUCUUUGAGUCUCAUUGUGGAUCGCUCACUCAGUACGGUAUGAAGCACAUGCGAGCAUUUGCAAAUAUAUGCAACAAUGGUGUUUCUGGCACGACGAUGAAGGAAGCAAGCAUCAAUACCUGCGGCGGUCACAACUCGGCAAGAUUGAGCACCUUGAUCCAAGGGUACAGCGCUUGA